UGGUGGUGGUGGUUGUUUAUCUCAUCAGUAUAUGUCCAUUUCUAUCAUGUGCAUUGUGUUGUGAGCUUCUUUCUUUCGUUCUAUUUUUUUUGUUUUUAUUUUAUUUUAUUUGUCUUCAUGUGUGUGAAUGUUAUAUUUUCAGGCUUUUUGUGACUUGUUUGGGUUUGAGGGUUGAUAAUGUAGGCUUCUGAUCUUUGGAUUUACUAUCUGGACGUCUAUUUGAAUGUUGAGUCGUGUUGUUGAUUAUUUGUUUCGUUUACAUAAUUAUUAUUUUGUGUAAUUUUUUUAAUGAUUUAUUUAAUAUCAUAAUGUAUGUGUUUAUGUUAGCUUUGAGAUUUGAGUGUCAUUUGAUGGAUAAUUCAUUAUUUCUUCUAUUCAACAUUUCUAAAUCAUUUGUUUUAAAGGAAUAUAUUUUCUUUAAAAAUGUUAAAAUAAAACUGAGUUUUAAAUGGUUUAUUUUAAAUUUGGAAUUCCUUUCAUCAUGUGUUUAUCGUAACUACUUGAUUGUAUUUUUUUACAAAUUUGAUUUGUCGAUUUUAUUUUCUUAUUGAAUGCUAUACAAUUUUUCUUUGAAGUGGCAGUAUACCAAAUUAAGGAACCAAUACAUCAAAAAGUGAGGCAUGUAUGUAUGUAUGUAUGUAAAAUUCUUGAAAAUUUAUGAUUAUUUUUAUAAA
rnacentral:lncRNA from 1 species